GUGAGGAAUUUUCCGCAAUGGGCGAAAGCCUGACGGAGCAAUGCCGCGUGAAGGAUGAAGGCCUAUGGGUUGUAAACUUCUUUUCUCAGAAAAGAAUUAUGACGGUAUCUGAGGAAUAAGCAUCGGCUAACUCUGUGCCAGCAGCCGCGGUAAGACAGAGGAUGCAAGCGUUAUCCGGAAUGAUUGGGCGUAAAGCGUCUGUAGGUUGUUUAAAAAGUAUUCUGUCAAAGAUUAGGGCUUAACCCUAGAUAGGCAGAAUAAACUUUUAAGCUAGAGUUUGGUAGAGGCAUAGAGAAUUCCCGGUGGAGCGGUGAAAUGCGUAGAUAUCGGGAGGAACACCAAAGGCGAAGGCACUCUGCUGGGCCAAUACUAACACUGAGAGACGAAAGCGAGGGGAGCAAAUGGGAUUAGAAACCCCGGUAGUCC
rnacentral:rRNA from 1 species